rnacentral:rRNA from 1 species
AUGAACGCUGGCGGCGUGCCUAAUACAUGCAAGUCGCGCGAACAGACGAGGAGCUUGCUCCUCUGACGUUAGCGGCGGCCGGGUGAGUAACACGUGGAUAACCUACCUAUAAGACUGGGAUAACUUCGGGAAACCGGAGCUAAUACCGGAUAAUAUAUUGAACCGCAUGGUUCAAUAGUGAAAGACGGUUUUGCUGUCACUUAUAGAUGGAUCCGCGCCGCAUUAGCUAGUUGGUAAGGUAACGGCUUACCAAGGCAACGAUGCGUAGCCGACCUGAGAGGGUGAUCGGCCACACUGGAACUGAGACACGGUCCAGACUCCUACGGGAGGCAGCAGUAGGGAAUCUUCCGCAAUGGGCGAAAGCCUGACGGAGCAACGCCGCGUGAGUGAUGAAGGUCUUCGGAUCGUAAAACUCUGUUAUUAGGGAAGAACAAAUGUGUAAGUAACUAUGCACGUCUUGACGGUACCUAAUCAGAAAGCCACGGCUAACUACGUG